rnacentral:rRNA from 1 species
CCUACGGGAGGCAGCAGUGGGGAAUAUUGGACAAUGGGCGAAAGCCUGAUCCAGCAAUGCCGCGUGAGUGAUGAAGGCCUUAGGGUCGUAAAGCUCUUUUACCCGGGAUGAUAAUGACAGUACCGGGAGAAUAAGCUCCGGCUAACUCCGUGCCAGCAGCCGCGGUAAUACGGAGGGAGCUAGCGUUGUUCGGAAUUACUGGGCGUAAAGCGUACGUAGGCGGUUAUUCAAGUCAGAGGUGAAAGCCCGGGGCUCAACCCCGGGAACUGCCUUUGAAACUAGAUAGCUAGAAUCUUGGAGAGGUCAGUGGAAUUCCGAGUGUAGAGGUGAAAUUCGUAGAUAUUCGGAAGAACACCAGUGGNGAG